CCUACGGGUGGCAGCAGUGAGGAAUAUUGGUCAAUGGGCGCGAGCCUGAACCCGCCAAGUCGCGUGAGGGAAGACGGUCCUAUGGAUUGUAAACCUCUUUUGUCGGGGAGCAAAAGACGCCACGCGUGGCGUUCCGAGAGUACCCGAAGAAAAAGCAUCGGCUAACUCCGUGCCAGCAGCAGCGGUAAUACGGAGGAUGCGAGCGUUAUCCGGAUUUAUUGGGGUUAAAGUGUGCGCAGGCGGAAGAUCAAGUCAGCGGUAAAAUUGGGAGGCUCAACCUCUUCGAGCCGUUGAAACUGGUUGUCUUGAGUGAGCGAGAAGUAUGCGGAAUGCGUGGUGUAGCGGUGAAAUGCAUAGAUAUCACGCAGAACUCCGAUUGCGAAGGCAGCAUACCGGCGCUCAACUGACGCUCAUGCACGAAAGUGUGGGUAUCGAACAGGAUUAGAUACCCUUGUAGUC
rnacentral:rRNA from 1 species